rnacentral:rRNA from 1 species
GAACGACUCUCGGCAACGGAUAUCUCGGCUCUUGCAUCGAUGAAGAACGUAGCGAAAUGCGAUACUUGGUGUGAAUUGCAGAAUCCCGUGAACCAUCGUGUCUUUGAACGCAAGUUGCGCCCGAAGCCAUUAGGCCGAGGGCACGCCUGCCUGGGUGUCACAC